CCUACGGGUGGCAGCAGUGGGGAAUAUUGCACAAUGGGGGAAACCCUGAUGCAGCGACGCCGCGUGAGUGAAGAAGUAUUUCGGUAUGUAAAGCUCUAUCAGCAGGAACGAGACAAGACGGUACCUGACUAAGAAGCCCCGGCUAACUACGUGCCAGCAGCCGCGGUAAUACGUAGGGGGCAAGCGUUAUCCGGAAUCACUGGGGGGAAAGGGAGCGUAGACGGCUGAGCAAGCCUGAAGUGAAAGGCGGGGGCCCAACCCCCGGACUGCUUUGGGAACUGUACGGCUGGAGUGCAGGAGAGGUAAGUGGAAUUCCUAGUGUAGCGGUGAAAUGCGUAGAUAUUAGGAGGAACACCAGUGGCGAAGGCGGCUUACUGGACUGUAACUGACGUUGAGGCUCGAAAGCGUGGGGAGCAAACAGGAUUAGAUACCCUUGUAGUC
rnacentral:rRNA from 1 species